rnacentral:SRP_RNA from 1 species
GCCAGGUGUGGUGGCUUGCGCCUGUAAUCCCAGCUACUCAGGAGGCUGAGGCAGGAGAAUUGCUUGAACCCAGGAGGUGGAGGUUGCAGUGAGCCGAGAUCGUGCCACUGCAGUGAGCCGAGAUCGUGCCACUGCACUCCAGCCUGGGUGACAAAGCAAGACUCUGUCUCAA